AUCCCUGCCCUGCCCCUGCGCCUGUCCUGUCCCGUGUCCCGCCCCGUCCCUGCCCCUGUCCUGCCCUGCGUCCCUGCCCCAUCCCUGUCCGUACCCCUGUCCUAUCCCGCAUCCCUGCCCCUGUCCCUGCCCCUGCCCUGCCCCUCUCUGUCCUGCCCCACGUCCCUGCAUGGGUCCUGGGCCUCAGCACCAGGUUCUGGGCCCGCUUCCUUGCAGCCCCUUCCCCAGAGCCCACCAAAGACCCGAAUCCUCACACUCUCGGGACAGGUAGCUGUGGGUGGCUGAGAGGGACUGGCCCCUCCCUGGCCAAGUCCACAAUGUCAGGACCCUUGCUGCCCUCCUGCUUCGGGCUCAGCCCCAAUGCCCCCGAUUUGAAGUGAAGCUGCCCAGUGCCCUCUCUGGGGCCCUCCCAGGAGAUGCAGGCUGGAGGGGCUGCCCUGGAAAGCCCUUCCUUUCCCUAGAGAGGUCCCCGCCCUGAGAGGGAAGGGCCCGGGCGAUGAUUCCAGGCUGGGAGGAGGAAGGCGCGUGCCAAGCGCUCCUCGGAGUUGAUGCCCCAUGGCGUAAUGUGCAGCUGCUGCUGGAGAAGAGAUGCAGGCAGAUUACUGAACCCUGAGAAAUGAAAAAGCAUGAUCGCGGUCUUGCCAGCAUAGGCGGCCGUGGUCCGUGCUUGCAAGUCUGAGGGCGGAGGAGCCCGCCGCCCGCUUCUCAUGGGCCCACCCCUGUGAUCCAGCAUCUGUAAAACUCCCUGGGAGGCCACAGCCUGCCCUGGCCCAGCCCCUGGGACCGCGAGGGCCGUGUGAUACUUUCUCCAGUGGCAUUUACAGAAAACUUCCCUCUGCCCUACCAUUUUAGUUGGCUUUGGGAUAGUUUGCAGUAUUUCCUGAUUAAAAUAAUGUUGAGAAGAACAUUUGGGCCUCUGAGGCCUUUUCCCUAGGGUAUUUUCUGAGAAAUGACAGAGAUUCAAGGGCUGUGAACAUUUUGUAGCCAUGUUGUGUUAUAGAAAAGCAUGUGCGUUCCCACAUGCGGGCUGCUCUUCUGUGGGAUUCUUCAGACUGGACAUGCGGUGCGGGGCUGGACACGUGGCGGGGG
rnacentral:lncRNA from 10 species